GAGUUGGGACUAUUAAGAUUAGUCAUCUAUUGAUCUGCGCUUUAAUUUACAUGUCCCUAAUUUAACUUGCAAUCUUCUUUCCAUUAGUAAAUUGACUAGAGAUUUAAAGUGUGGUGUUCAUUUUACUGAGUCUAUGUGCAUUUUUUUCAGGACCUGAUUUUCGGGGAAGAGGAUUGGCAAUGCUAAAGAUUGUGAGGACUAUUUUGAAGAAGAAGCCAUCUUGAAUAAACAAGCUCAAACCACGAGUUAAGCGCUAUGGGAGGAGAUGGUGGCGGACCACAGGCUCGCACCGACGAGGCUGGAGGACCCAGCAGAGCUCUCGCUCCAUUCUUCUUCCAAGUAGGAAACCAACGGCUUACCUCCCUCUCCAUCGCUGCCUCUCUUUUGUGGUUCAGGUGUUUAUAAGAUGGGUUAGCUGUGAUGGAUUGUUCAUUCUUGGACAGAAUCAGCUGGAAGGUCUCUGAUGCAAGCCUGGCUUAAUAUUAGAAGUAGGUGCAAACAGCUCUAACGCAUAACUGAUACGCAAGAGACUGCCCUAGGAGCUACUGAGCAGCACUGGAAAACAAUUCUGAUUGGAGCAUAACAGUGUAAUCAUUAAACCAACAAUUCAUUGUUCAUUUAUAUAUUAGUUUGCACCCACCUUAUUAGGGCAGCUAACCUGUUAACUUGCUAGUAGGACAAAUAACAGCAAAAGGCAAUUUUAUUAUAUAGGAAGUUUUGCACAUACUGCAAUGCUAUCAGGAUCUAUAUGUUUGUGGAUGCAUUAGACAUUUCAUGCACGGGAUAGAUUGAUAUCUUCUUCUUUGGGUAAAGACUGUUAGGGUAUCUGUUGCAGAGGUAGAUACGGAGGUAAGUAUCUAGGAAGUAUGGUACUCAAAUGGUUCCCCACAAUUAACUCAUCUUGGCCACUGAGGUGCAAGUAAUGCACCUGCCUGUCAGGAAGAAUUUAUCCCACACAGGAUGCUUGGAGAUGAGUGCCUAAUGGGUGGCCGUGAUACUAUCCGAAAACACAAUCUUUUAUGCUGAUUUUCUUUUCCUGAAGUUUGAUACAUGCACUCAAUUUUGGUCGAUCAUUCUGUCAUUUGUUCUUGUGUAUAUGAAUAGUAUAAUAAUAUUUUACAGAGUUGAGAGCCG